rnacentral:rRNA from 2 species
AACGGAUCUCUUGGUUCUGGCAUCGAUGAAGAACGCAGCGAAAUGCGAUAAGUAGUGUGAAUUGCAGAAUUCAGUGAAUCAUCGAAUCUUUGAACGCACAUUGCGCCCCUUGGUAUUCCAUGGGGCAUGCCUGUUCGAGCGUCAUUUGUACCUUCAA